ACUCCGCCAUCUACUACCUGCACUGUCAUUAGAAUUGUUUUAGUUGAGUUCAGAUGUAUUUAAAGGUCCUGAAAGCCCAUUUUAUUAAUCAGUGUCGUCUGACUGUAGCUUAGCUUAUGUCUCAUUGAACCACACCCACACAGCUCUUAAAAAGUAGAUUUGCUGAGUGUUAGUCAAUUAUUCCUAUGAAUCAUUUGUUUUCUUCAAACUUUAAUUGUUGCUUUUUAAUCAUCAGUAUUUAUUAUUAAACAGAAAUAAGCAAGAUUUCAAACCAAGUUUUCAGGGGCUUUAAUAAUUAGCUAACGAAGCUACUUUAAUAUCUGCCAUGCAGCAUUAGUUCUCAAUAUAAUUUGUCAUUUGAGCCUCUGCUAUCAGAUAUAUUUAAUGUCUGCCACCAGAGGAUGGUUUUCACUUUCCCUCCCCAUCUUAAGCAGUGCACCCCUUUUGGCCUAUCAGGACUGAGAAUGCAAGGGGAAAAACAAAAAAGAAAUGACAGUGUGAGUUACAAAGAGAGGGGGGCAGCUGCAGAGCAUGAUGGUCCAGCACACAGCAGAUGUCUGAAGUGUGCUCGCAAAUAGACUUCCUCAUCCAUAAUGAGGAAAGUGGAUUCAUUUCAUAGUUAAUAAACCAAACACAAAAGCAACAAAAGUUGGCUUUAAAUGAAACAGCUUUCUAGUGCUUUUCUAGCAGGUAACAUAUUUUUCAAAUUAUUAUUUUAAACAUGAAUAAUUAUUUGCUUAGUAGCCGCUGUUAUGGUUAACGCACUCAUUUUAACUGUGCACUUAUAGUUAGCACUUACAGUAGCUGUAGUUGACACAUGCUUACAUUUUUAAAAAAAUUUUCAAUAAUUGUCACGGUGUUCAAAUGUUCCCGUCUAGUAAAGUAGCAGCUUACGUCAUUUACAAUAUGAAGAGAUGUACUUUAUUGGGAAAGUUUUGUGACGUUUGGUAACAUUUCCCAUCAUGUUAGUGAGAGAUGUCGCAUCUUGAAAGAGGAAUAUAAUGAAUCAUCCUUUUACAAAUAACAAAUGUAGUCAAAAGCGGUAAAACGCUCCGUUGCUCUGUGGUUUUAAUGCUGCAGCCUUAAUUGGUCUGGUAACGGCGAGCAGCUCGGAGGGGCUCACGUUUGCAAACUUAAGAUCGAUACUGCUGAGUAACUGACACUUUUUUAUUCGUGCGUGUGUCUGUGAA